GGAGACAGAUCUCCAGAGUCAUCGCUGAAGAAAUCGUUUGGGAUUAUCAGACACAACACUUUUCUUUUCUUUGGAGAAGACGAAGACUGGAUUUAAACCCCUGGAGCAGCUUUGCCAUUCAAGGCAUACUUGGAAAUGUAAAAAUCUGGAUCUAUUUUGGAGAUUAAACGCUCCCCGGGAUGGGAGAGCAUCUGCAUUUGGAACCAAUAUUGUAGUGGGUCGUACGCAGCGUCGAGGCUUUGAAUCGUCGUGUCAACGUCGUGUGGCACUGACUGCUCUGGAAGAUGGGCCUGUGGGAGUGAUGAGGUCUGGGGGAUCACGACCUUAAUUUUCUCCAAGACAGGCGCUUAAUUAACACUGGAGGAAGCCUGGCUGGCUUCAGACCGACAAAUGGAAUGUUCAAGGGAAUGAAGGCUGCCUUCUCUGCAGUCCACAUUGUGAGAAGACCACCUCACAGGGAUUUUCUCCUUCACCAGGUACAGGAAAACCUCAUUACCCAGGUGUUCACCCCAACCACAGGAAAUACUUGUCAGUGACGACUGUCUGCUGGCAAACAUCGCCUGAGGGAGCAAAAGACAGGAAGGGAAGACAAGGGGCAUAUAGUCAAAGGGAGCAGAACAUCUAGAUGGCGGUAGAUACCGCCCUCAUGUUUUUUAGUUUCUGUGUCACAGACCGAAACCUUUGCCUGUGUGAGCCGGCAAGGUCACUGGGUUCCUCCACUCCUUCAGCAGUGGAGGGACUGAGGGAGAAGAGCAGAGAGGGAGGAGACAUACAAGCUGUUGACAGGAAUUUAUGAGCUGAAGAGUGUCGGACUGGGAGCGCAACAACUUCUCCGUACGAGAAGCCUGUCUGUUCGUACAGCGCCAGAGAGAUACUGACAAAAAAGUGGUGAGGGUGACCGGGCAUAGUCGACAGAGAUUGAGUCAGCAAAAUAAAGUAUAAAACAAAACGAGGUUCCUAAUACGGUACAUUAGUACCUUGACAUACGAGUUUUUCAGGAUAUGAGCCGUCAUUCGGACAAUUGUUUUUGCUUCAAUUGUGAGCUCAAACCUGAGCUGUGAGUGCUGUAUGGUGGUCUUUAUUUUAAUUGUCUUACUGUGAAACCAAAGACACAAUUAAGAAUUACAUGUUGUGUUUUUAAAACAACCAAACAAUUUGGCCUGAAGAAUGCCCUACUAGCUUGAUGCUACAACCUAAUGAAAAAAAGAAAUCCAAACGCUAACAGUUAGCAUCAACAUUUGCUGUUUUCCAAUCCUUUAAGCAACAGAUAUUUCAAAACAAAUGACGUGACAACACAUGAAAAGGUAACAUUACAUUUCCAAAAGCCACAUAUUCUUUAUCCUCCUUGGAAAAUGACCAAUACUACAGAAACAUACUGAUUUGAAGUAGAAUAAGUCUACUCACUGACUGUGUUAUACAAUAGCGCCUUCUGGUGGCCAAGGUUGGCACACCAGAAGGCUAAAUUGGAUUGCAGCAAUCAGUCACGAUA